GGUAAUGGUAGUAUUAUGGUUUUGUGUAUGGAAUAUGAUAUGUUCACUUCUAAGAAGUGGAAAAGACCAGAUCAAAGAAUUAUUUAACUAAAGUGCAGUUAUUAGGAAAUUUAGUCUCUUUUCUGUAAUGUAAUAGUUAUGUAAAAAUAAACCAACCACCUGGGGACAAGACAUCUGCUCCUUAAUCAGGUGUGUUCUUGUUUAAAUGAGAGAAAUCAGUGCAGAGGUGACAUAAGUGGGGGAACAGGACAACCGUCUUUAGUCUAAAAGACUUCUUUUAACAUUUCAGCUUUCCACAGAUGUCUGUUAUCUGAGUAAAGCCAUUCCAUUUUGUUUU
rnacentral:lncRNA from 1 species